GGCGGCAUGCCUUACACAUGCAAGUCGAACGGCAGCGCGGGAGCAAUCCUGGCGGCGAGUGGCGAACGGGUGAGUAAUACAUCGGAACGUGCCCAAUCGUGGGGGAUAACGCAGCGAAAGCUGUGCUAAUACCGCAUACGAUCUACGGAUGAAAGCAGGGGACCCGCAAGGGCCUUGCGCGAAUGGAGCGGCCGAUGGCAGAUUAGGUAGUUGGUGGGGUAAAGGCUCACCAAGCCGACGAUCUGUAGCUGGUCUGAGAGGACGACCAGCCACACUGGGACUGAGACACGGCCCAGACUCCUACGGGAGGCAGCAGUGGGGAAUUUUGGACAAUGGGCGCAAGCCUGAUCCAGCCAUGCCGCGUGCAGGAUGAAGGCCUUCGGGUUGUAAACUGCUUUUGUACGGAACGAAAAGUCUCCUUUUAAUAAAGGGGGAUCAUGACGGUACCGUAAGAAUAAGCACCGGCUAACUACGUGCCAGCAGCCGCGGUAAUACGUA
rnacentral:rRNA from 1 species